GAUGAACGCUGGCGGCGUGCCUAAUACAUGCCAGUCGAGCGAACAGACGAGGAGCUUGCUCCUCUGACGUUAGCGGCGGACGGGUGAGUAACACGUGGAUAACCUACCUAUAAGACUGGGAUAACUUCGGGAAACCGGAGCUAAUACCGGAUAAUAUAUUGAACCGCAUGGUUCAAUAGUGAAAGACGGUUUUGCUGUCACUUAUAGAUGGAUCCGCGCCGCAUUAGCUAGUUGGUAAGGUAACGGCUUACCAAGGCAACGAUGCGUAGCCGACCUGAGAGGGUGAUCGGCCACACUGGAACUGAGACACGGUCCAGACUCCUACGGGAGGCAGCAGUAGGGAAUCUUCCGCAAUGGGCGAAAGCUUGACGGAGCAACGCCGCGUGAGUGAUGAAGGUCUUCGGAUCGUAAAGCUCUGUUAUUAGGGAAGAACAAAUGUGUAAGUAACUAUGCACGUCUUGACGGUACCUAAUCAGAAAGCCACGGCUAACUACGUG
rnacentral:rRNA from 1 species